GAUGUAGCUCCCCGUUUAUUUUUGAUAUGUUCCUAGAGAAACACUAUGUUGAAAGAUGAUAGUAGCAAUGAUGCGGACUAGGUCCGUGAUCUGAGGAUUAUCCUCAUUGCUGCACAGAAGAAUUAUGUCCUUGAUGCACCGCUAGGUGACAGAUCAAUUACAAGAGCAGAUAACAGACGUUAUGAACGUUUGGCAAGCUCGGUAUGAUGACUACUUGAUAGUUUAGUGCGCCAUGCUUUACGGCUUAGAACCGGGACAUCAAAAAUGUUUUGAACGCCACGCAGCAUAUAAGAUGUUCCAAGAGCUGAAAUUGGUAUUUCAGACUCAUGCCCGAGUCGAAAGGUAUGAGACCUUGUGGCACCCCGAUCCGCAUGGAGCAGGGGGCUUCGCACGUCAGCCCAGGAUAACACCUGACGCACGACAGGUCCAUAAUACAGCAUUUCAGGUACAAAAAUAUUCAUCAAAUACAUGUAUAUGAGAUUACAUCAUUGAUGAAUACAAUUAUCUGGCAUAGCCCUAAGGGUAUUAAAUGACAGCGGAAGUCUGAUAAAAAUGGCGGCGGAAGUCUUGGUUUGGCAGCAUAACAACUCUGGCUGGGCUCCACAACUCACAGGACUGGCAAGAUUACGGCCUAGCACGACGGAUCAAGCGAGCAAUACGGGUACGACCUACAAAACUGGCAUGACACGCCAGGUCAGUACAUUGAAUGUACUUGCAAGACAACCAAAUACAUAGCAUCCAAACAAGCUGCAGACAAAGCAAGAACCGAGCAUAUGCAACAACCUAUCUCAUAUCCAUUACUAAACAUGGCAUGAUAAAAAUCAACUAAGCAUGAACAAAAUCAUAGCAUCUACUAACAUGGCAAUAACAAGGCAUAAUAAAACAAGAUUAUAACAUGGUAAUAGAAAAACCUAUCAUAUCAUCUCAAACAUGGCAUAAUUUAACAUAUAAAUCAACGCAUGGCACGACAUCAUGAAACUAUGCUGAAAAUAAACUACCGAUUAUAUCCAAUGCAGACAUAGCAUGUUAACUAUAUACAAUCAUCUUCUGUUCUGCCUUAGGUUUUUAAAUGCAACAUAUUACUCAUGCAAUGCAACCAAACUCGUACACCGAGUCCCUCGGACUCUCUUACCAACGGGUUGCCUCGCAACCGAACGGUGAUCUUUCCGGCGAUCACAACCAUGACCAACACUUGGUCUCCAACACUUAUUGAGACCUCGUCUAGUGAUCAUAUCAAAACAUCGCCGUGACUUCUCACGACUAUCUCAUAGUUCAAGUCACCAUAUUCUUGUUAUCACAUCUUUAUUUACCAACUUAAUUAUUUCGGUUUGUCCUCCAUUUCGACCAAGACCUGAUAGUGGGACCUACUACGAACUGUUGCUAUCGAUAGACUUUAUACACUCUGCGGACGUAGCACACUGUACCCACACCACAGAACCCAUGGCCUCAUCAUCCCAUUCGGGUGGACCAACGGCAUUCCGACGAAACCAACCUACUGCCAUGACGCUCUCCCGGCCACUCCGACCCAAUACCCAACGGGCUGGUCCUGGGUGGCCCCGUGUCUACCAAAGACACCCCGACCACCGUCGUGGUCAACUUCCACUCGGGGACACUCCCACUCGGGGACUGGUACCAAAAAUCUCAAAAACGAGCACACAAGGUUAUGUCCGCUUACCUGAUCAGGGUAAGCAUGCCCAUAACCUUCCCUAGUGGGAGGCACCGGCGAGAGGUCACGACAAUAGCUCGCAUUAAGGCCUUCCCACAAAGGCAAAUGUGGCUGCACUGAAAAAGUUCGAUUUGGUGGCACUAUGACUCGAUCCCAUUGAUGACGGAGGAGGUUUGUUAUUAUUAAGUCAUUUUAAUUCCUUCUCCAGCAUCAUGAGCAUAUUAAACAUGAGUGCAACAUUGAGCAUGCAGCGUACGAAUGGAUGGACAAAAUAUCAAACUUCUCAAGUACACAACUAUAGCAUAAAGAACAUGACAAUACCAAGUACUAGCAUAUCACGGAGCAUUUCAAUCAUCAUAACAUGUUAUAAAGAUGACAUGCAAAUAACGUAGAGUAGUGACAUGGCAUUAUCAAUAACAACAUUCUAACUAGCAUGGCAGACGAUAUCUUGAAAACACAAGCAUGCAAGACAGGCAUAAAGAAAUAACUGCAGACGAAAACGAUAUGAAACAACUUCAACUACACACACACAAGGUGCAAUUAAAGUCAACAUGCAAGUUUGGGGCUCAUGAUAAGAGGUUGGCUUGCCUGGGGGUCGACAAAUACCCCGGGAAGAAGUGGGACACGAUCACGGAAAGAUUUGCCAGAAACAGUUCUCUCUCGGAGGGGGCUGUUUAGGGCAAGGGAAAAAUGGUCAUUUUCACUAUGUGAAAACAUUAUGAAAAUGAUACCAAUGGAACAGGCUCGACGAAACAAAGACGUGGGCUUUGGAAUCACCUGAUUUGGAGCUACGUGUAAAAAGAUAUGAUUGUUUAACUACCAGGGACCAAUCUGUAAAGAAAAUCAUUACAAACGGGGCCCUAGCAGAAAAAUAGAUCGCGUCUUUCUCAGAAAUAUGCUUUCCAGAAAGGAAAGCGUAUUCUGGCCCGAAGAAGGAGAGGAAUACGAUUUCGGCUAAGGGAAAGCGCACUCCAGGAAAUAUGCCUUCGUGUUCCGUAAACGGAAAACAGCCCGAGGCGCCGCCACUUAUCCACGCUGGUAGGACCGGGUCAACACGGCAGCAGCGGGGCCGGGCGCCUGGGUCACUGCUAUGUGGGGUCAGGGGAAAAGGCGCGGGGCCCACCUGGCCAGGUCAACGCCCUCUUCUUCCUCCCGAGCAGGAGCGAGCAUGGCCGAGGGAGGCGUUCGCCCCGACGGCGCUCGACGGCGACUCCGGCCAGCUCUCGGGCCGUGCGACCUACCGAAAUGUGCAGGACGGAGCGGCGCAUCUCGGGGUGGUCUCUGUUGCUGGUGAGGACCGCGGGAGAAGGAGCAGCAGGGCCUGUGGCGGAGAGGGGGUACGGGCUCGGGUGGACACGGGGCUCUGGUGAGGGAAAUGGAAGGCCAAGGCUAUGGGGAGGCUCACUGGAGCAUGGGGGAUGCGGUGGUGGUGAGAGAACGGAGAGGGAAACACCGCAUCGCCGGAAUCGGGAGAGACCCAAGGCGGCGGCUAUGGCGACGGUGAAGGUCGAGGAGCGACUCCGGGGACGAGAGGAGGGGUUGGGGAGGCGUAGAGG
rnacentral:lncRNA from 1 species